AGCGCAGGCGGACUUGUGUGUCGGACGCGAAAUACCGGGGCUUAACCCCGGUGCUGCGUCCGAAACUACGAGUCUAGAGACUUGGAGGGGUAAGCGGAAUUCUUGGUGGAGCAGUGAAAUGCGUAGAUAUCAAGAGGAACACCAACGGCGAAGGCAGCUUACUGGACAAGAUCUGACGCUCAGGCUCGAAAGCGUGGGGAGCAAAAG
rnacentral:rRNA from 1 species